AUGGAGGAGAGGUGGGCGAGCGGGAAGGGCUGGGGCGUCGCCCACGACGUCGAGCUUGACGGCGGCCUUGCGGCGGCGCAGUCGGCGAGGACCUGUCGGAUCUCGCAGGAUCCGGUGGGAUAUGGAGCGCAGGCGGCGGAUCUGGAAGGAAGGUGGCCGGAGCUUGGAACACGACGGCUGGCGGGCGCGUCAUGGCCGACGCCGGUGAGAGAAGAGAGAGAUGAGCGGGAGAGAAAAGAGAGGACGGGAAGAAGAUGUGAGGCUAGAGGGAGAGAGAAGGGCGUGGUGGUCCUGCUGCUGCUCGCCGGUGGCUAG
rnacentral:rRNA from 1 species